rnacentral:lncRNA from 1 species
UCUUAGUACGGAGUCAUAUUAUUGGCAAGUAUAAAGUAUUAUUAUUUUAUUUCUUUUGCAUUCAAGGUAGGUGAGGAGGUAAUUACAUUCCUCACAGCUACUGCUUCCAAAACACUGGGCUGAGAAUGUGAUGAUUUUAAGUAUCUGGUCUCUAACUUAAAAGGGAAAGUUUCUGGAUUCUGCUUUGAUUCGUAUCACUUUUUAUCUGGAUAAAGGAACAGUCAUCUCACCCUUUCUAGUAAAUGAAAAUUAGUAAGAGCCCCAAUUUUCCCCCUCCAAAGCCCUCCAAGGUGAUCAUGGAGAUUUUCUGAUUUGAACAGUUAACAGUGACAUAAUUAUAGAUGUGCCCCUGUUGUAAUAUCCUGAUGUCUAUUAACUCUGAAUCUAGCUGCCAUGGGGGUCAUUGGGCACUUAUGGUUCUGCACGUCAGAAAGGCUGGCUUUUCAGGGGUGGUGUCCUAGAACAAAAGAUCCUGUGUUACAAGCUAGGCCUGGGGUGAUAGGUGCCUAACAUGUUUAUGCUUC